CCUACGGGGGGCAGCAGUGAGGAAUAUUGGUCAAUGGACGAGAGUCUGAACCAGCCAAGUAGCGUGAAGGAUGACUGCCCUAUGGGUUGUAAACUUCUUUUAUAUGGGAAUAAAAUGUUCCACGUGUGGGAUUUUGUAUGUACCAUAUGAAUAAGGAUCGGCUAACUCCGUACCAGCAGCCGCGGUAAUACGGAGGAUACGAGCGUUAUCCGGAUUUAUUGGGUUUAAAGGGAGCGUAGGUGGAUUGUUAAGUCAGUUGUGAAAGUUUGCGGCUCAACCGUAAAAUUGCAGUUGAAACUGGCAGUCUUGAGUACAGUAGAGGUGGGCGGAAUUCGUGGUGUAGCGGUGAAAUGCUUAGAUAUCACGAAGAACUCCGAUUGCGAAGGCAGUUCACUGGACUGCAACUGACACUGAGGCUCGAAAGUGUGGGUAUCAAACAGGAUUAGAUACCCGGGUAGUC
rnacentral:rRNA from 1 species